AUGCUAACCAAGCUAGAAGAGGAAAGAUGUGAAGAUUGGUCACCUGUGCAAAGGAAACGACAAGGGCUCAAGGGGAAGUGGGAAAGAUGCAUUUUUGAAGAACUGGGUAUUACAUGUAAAAUCAAAGGUUUCAUCUCCCCUGGCUGCUGGCCUCACCCCGAUUUCUGGGCAUUGGGAUCUGGUAACCGUGAGUUCCUGCUGCUCCUGCUCCUGCAGCCGUCUGUGUCACGCCUGGCAGCCAUCUUAGGCUGGGCAGAAAGCCCACCAGGGCUAGCACAGCAAAUCGGCUGGUAAGUGAGCAGACAGAAAGAUUAUGCUAGGAAAACAUCAAGGGUAAAUAUUUAAGUUGUACAAAGCAAAUAGCUCAUAAUACGCUAAACAGUUCUGCUUUCCUUAUGGAGUUUAUUUUAUAUAUUAAAAAAAAAAAGUAUCUCCUUAAAUUUUUAUUUGCUGAAGAAUACAAGUGCAACAUACAAAGUAGCUGAUGAUUAGCCCUGGUUUAAUUUCUCUUUUUGUGGAAGCUUUGAGAAAUGCUGAGUGUUUUCAUCAGUCUCAUGAAUACUAACUUAUAUAGUUUUUUAGCAUUUGGAGUAUUAUAUAAGCAAAACUCAGAAAUAAAUGCUAUAGAAAAGUAAAAUAUAUGGCA
rnacentral:lncRNA from 1 species